rnacentral:rRNA from 1 species
UACGGGAGGCAGCAGUGGGGAAUAUUGCACAAUGGGCGCAAGCCUGAUGCAGCCAUGCCGCGUGUAUGAAGAAGGCCUUCGGGUUGUAAAGUACUUUCAGUCGUGAGGAAGGUGUUAAGGUUAAUAACCCUAGCAAUUGACGUUAGCGACAGAAGAAGCACCGGCUAACUCCGUGCCAGCAGCCGCGGUAAUACGGAGGGUGCGAGCGUUAAUCGGAAUUACUGGGCGUAAAGGGCACGCAGGCGGUUAAUUAAGUUGGAUGUGAAAUCCCCGGGCUUAACCUGGGAAUGGCAUUCAAGACUGGUUAGCUAGAGUCUUGUAGAGGGGGUAGAAUUCCAUGUGUAGCGGUGAAAUGCGUAGAGAUGUGGAGGAAUACCGGUGGCGAAGGCGGCCCCUGGACAAAGCUGGCGCUCAUGUGCGAAAGCGUGGGGAGCGAAACAGGGAUUAGAUACC